rnacentral:misc_RNA from 1 species
UCCGUGUUAACCACGGCAGUCUCCUUAGAGAGCCCAACUGAAUGCUGGCAACUAAGGACAAGGGUUGCGCUCGUUGCGGGACUUAACCCAACAUGUCACCACACGAGCUGACGACAGCCAUGCAGCACCUGUCUCCCGGUCGUAUUGCUACGAAAGCUGUAUCUCUACAGCGGUCCGAGGAUGUCAAACCCAGGUAAGGCUCUUCGCGUUGCUUCGAAUUAAACCACAUGAUCCACCGCUUGUGCGGGCCCCCGUCAAUUCCUUUGAGUUUUAGUCUUGCGACCGUACUUCCCAGGCGGGGUACUUAGUGCGUUAGCUCCGGCUCGGCGGGGGUCAAGACCCACCAAGCCUAGUACCCAUCGUUUACGGCGUGGACUAC